UACGUAGGUGGCAAGCGUUGUCCGGAUUUACUGGGCGUAAAGAGCGCGCAGGCGGUCGUUCAAGUCGCGUGUGAAAGCCCCCGGCUCAACUGGGGAGGGUCACGCGAUACUGAUCGACUCGAAGGCAGGAGAGGGUAGUGGAAUUCCCGGUGUAGUGGUGAAAUGCGUAGAUAUCGGAAGGAACAUCAGUGGCGAAAGCGACUUCCUGGACCAGUACCGACGUUCAGGCACGAAAGCGUGGGAGCGAACAGG
rnacentral:rRNA from 1 species